rfam:Triticum aestivum genome assembly, contig: Triticum_aestivum_CS42_TGACv1_scaffold_542725_6DS
CUUAUACUCUCUCCGUCCGUAAAAGUUUGUCCCUCAGAUGGAUGUAUCUAGCAUCAAGUUAGUGCUAGAUACAUCUAAUUGGGGAAAAACGUGAGACAAGAUUUUUCGGACGGAGGGAGUAUUUA